ensembl:lincRNA Platr10 pluripotency associated transcript 10
GACAAAACCACAAUCAAAGAGUACACAUGGAGGGACCCAUGGCUCCAUCUGCAUAUGCAGCAGAAAGUUGUCUUAUCUAGCUUCAAUGGGAGGGGAGACUCUUGGUCUUAUGAAGGCUUGUUGCCCUAGCAUAGGGGAAUGCUAGAGGGGUGAGGUGGGAGUGGGUGGGUAGGUUGGGGAACACACUCAUAGAGGCAGGGGGUGGGAUGAGGUAGUUUGCAGAGGGAAGACUGGGGACUAGGGACAACAUUUGAAAUGUAAAUAAAUAAAGUAACCAAUUAAUUAAAAGGCGGGGGCUAUUAGACAUUCUUAUAUCAUCUAAAGGCCACCUGGAGCUCUGGGUUAUGUAAAUCCAAAGAGCAGGUGCUCUAGUCAAGAAAACAGGAACUCUUUGUUCAGGGAACAGCUUCAAAAGAAUGGUGAUUUAUAGAGGUAGAGGAUAUAUGUUAAUAGAGGACACUUGGCAUCUUCCUCUGGCUACUACACAUGCCCCGGGCACAUGCAGCAGCACGUACCCACUCACAGACAUAUUCACAUACAUGUAAAGAAGUAACUAAGUAGAUCCUUUAAAACUAAAACAAAGAGUUGAGUUACAGUUGAGUCUGUCAACUCAUUUACUGAAAGUCUUCUAAGAAAAGCACCAUUCUCAUAUAGAUAAUAAAGCCUCAUUUCUCUACCCCAGGUGGUCUCCAUUCUUUUUUUUUUAGCUCCUGGAUUCUAUGAUGUUCUUUUAGAAGUAUGUAGCUGCCUCUUGUGGAAGAUAGACAUGCAUGUUCUGACAGCUCAAAGAAAAAAUUAUUUAUGGA